GAGGUGCAAUACAGAGAGCUUAUUUUACAACCAUAUGAAAAUGUUUCUAACCAUAUGUGCUGUUCUGUUCUCUUUGGCCACAGAAGCUGUUCUUGGAGUGACACUUGAGCAAAAUUAUCUCACUAUGACAAAAGAGAAGGGGAAAACUAUACACAUCAGCUGCAAAGUGACCGGACUCAACACAAACUAUGUUCACUGGUACCUUAAGAAAGAUGGUGAAGAAACUCUCAAAAGGAUCCUAUAUGUGAAAAAGGGAAGCCCGGUUGUUCCUGAUAAGCACCCUGAAUCACAGGACUUUAAAGUGCGGAUACAGAGUGAUAAUUAUGAUCUGAAGAUAGACAUACUAAAGGAAAGUCACUCUGGGGUUUAUUACUGUGCAAGCUGGGAAACAUACCACAGUCAUAAUAAACAUUCACAGUGUGUACAGAAACCCUGA